rnacentral:rRNA from 1 species
AACGAACGCUGGCGGCAUGCCUAACACAUGCAAGUCGAACGGGAUCCUAGCUUGCUAGGUGAGAGUGGCGGACGGGUGAGUAACACGUGGGAAUCUGCCUUUUUGGUUCGGGAUAACCGCGGGAAAACUGCGGCUAAUACCGAAUGCCCUCGAGAGAGGAAAGAUUUAUCGCCAGAAGAGGAGCCCGCGUCCGAUUAGGGUAGUUGGUGGGGUAAAGCCUACCAAGCCGACGAUCGGGUAGCUGGUCUGAGAGGAUGAUCAGCCACACUGGGACUGAGAUACGGCCCAGACUCUACGGGAGCAGCAGUGGGGAAUAUUGGACAAUGGGGGCAACCCUGAUCCAGCAAUGCCGCGUGAGUGAUG